UGCACCAUCAUCGAUGACACACUAGAAAGGAGCGUGCUCAUUAGAGGACGGAAUGAAAACGUACCUCGCUGCCAAAAACGCGAUGCUGCAAUGCUCGCUGUCGUCGCAGCGUAAGUCUUACAUAACCCUACUCCCCUUACUCCUAGCGCCACCUAGACGACCCUUUGUUGCAAGCCGUAACGCGAUGUUUUUACGUGCUCGUCGCUCUCCCUCUUUGCUGUGCUCGCACGAGUUUUCUAGGAACGCAAAGUCGAGUGACGUGGCGGUUAAAUUUUCCACCAAGUUGCACGGAUAUAUUUACAACGUCAGGACGAGUUCGAACACGGUCGCUUUUUGAUUCUGGGCUCCCUUACACCGAAGAACUUGUUAGACACUCUGAUGGUAAAAAAGGGUCUUUUGUUGUAUAAUUGGCGGAAGAGAUAUAUAGAAUUAUAAAUCAAGCCUGCUGUUCAACUUAGUUUUAAGUAUAUUCCUUUGAUCAAUUUGAUAUCUUUAUGGAAUAAUAGACAUAUUUUGAAAUUGAAGCGUAAUGAAGUUAUUUAUAAAUAUAGAUUGGAAUGCUGUAAGAUGUAUAGAACGCAUUAAAACCUUUUAGGUGCGGGGACCUUGAAUCUAAAGCUAUUCGCUUACGCCUGUGAUAAUUUUGAUCUUGUUUGUCAAUGCCUACGAGUGUUUAACGCAAGUCUAACAAAUUUCCUUAGACAUAUUUGUAUUAGUAAAGAAAUUGCAAUUUGAUUAGAAAAUAUUAUUAGGAAACGCUAUUUCUAAAUACUGAUAAAUGUCAACAUCAUGUUAAAUUUCAAUUUUGAGUGGAUUACGAAUGUUCAUGUAUUUAUAUAACAAAUUUUCAAAGUACACAUAUUAUGCAAAAUGUGCAAAACAUCCAUUAAAGAUGAAACAAAUCUUCGUCUAAAUCCUAUCUCUCUGAUUGUUCAUCUCAACACAAAUUUGCAUAAACAUUUUCCAUUGAGACUAACGCAAUCCAUUUCUGGGGAUCGUCAUAAGCGGAUCACAGAGAGAGGAAUUGAGAAUUCAUUAAGAUUUAAUCGGAAUAACGUGAUUCGAUUAUACCAUUUAUACUAUCGUGAUAUAAUUAUCGAAAUAGCGAAUGUCUAUAUUUGUGCACUGCUGCUUACACUGCAGAUAACAGAAUCUACGAUAAUACCCACUGUCUAUAUGUUAUAUUAUUUUGAGUUGCCUGCAUCUCUCAACACCGCGUUAGGGAGAUAAAGAUUAAUUUAUGCGCGCAUUGAAUGGUAUUUUUCGCAUCAAAGUCUUUAUUCUACGAAAGAAUGACAAUUCUUUAGAAUCAUUCGUAUUUUUGAUUAAAAAAUUAAGUCAUCCUAAAUAUAUACAAAUACGCAAUAAUUAGAAAUUAAAUUGUUUUCACUGGGGACGUUUAAUCAUUAUAAUGGCAGCGAUGAUGUCACGCCAAGCAUUAACGCUGCAAUGAUCUAAUGAACACAUCAGAGGAUAUCAAGUGCGGCUUCGAAUCAUGUUAGCUUCUCUUCGAAAGAAAUCUUCGACCGAAGAGUUUGUAGCAAUAAAGCAAUUCUAACAUUUACAUUGUAUUUAUUGGAAUAGAAAGAAGAUGAAAUAUAAUUCAUACAUAAAAAUGUAAAAGUUUAUUAGUACGAAUACCAGUGCGUCCGUAAAGGUACUUGAUUUAUUUCAAUUAUUACUACAAAAUCUUCUUAAUAAUCAACAAAUGGAUGGAUCAACAAUGGAUUAAAUUGGUUCCAUUAAAAGGAAAUUAAUUUAUAGGACGGCGGCGUAUAGAUCUUCAAAUGAGGGACUAAUGAAACACAUAGUGGAAACUUAGCGCCCUCUAAGAAUUCGCAACUAGGAAGGAAGUCUUCUGCUGAGAAGUUGAGAAUCAGCUGAUUGGUCACCAGAGCGUCAGCUGAUUUUGACAGCACAGUCGACCUUGUGCGCAUCUUAGCGCGUCGCGCGCCCUGAACCAAUUCAAAUAUACGAUUUAUGGCGACCACGCAUGCGCGUUGCGCAUACGCGCUCCCUGUUUGCAUUAAUAACAUCCAAAAGUCUUUUCGAUAUUACCAGCCCAUUAACGGAAUCUUCAUAACGUUUCUAUUUUAUAAGAUAUUUAAUUUAGGAAGUAUCUUUUGAAUAAACAAGUUGAAAGAUGGUUCAACUACAAAGAAA